CCUACGGGGGGCAGCAGUGAGGAAUAUUGGUCAAUGGACGAGAGUCUGAACCAGCCAAGUAGCGUGAAGGAUGACUGCCCUAUGGGUUGUAAACUUCUUUUAUAUGGGAAUAAAAUGUUCCACGUGUGGGAUUUUGUAUGUACCAUAUGAAUAAGGAUCGGCUAACUCCGUGCCAGCAGCCGCGGUAAUCCGGAGGAUCCGAGCGUUAUCCGGAUUUAUUGGGUUUAAAGGGAGCGUCGGUGGAUUGUUAAGUCAGUUGUGAAAGUUUGCGGCUCAACCGUAAAAUUGCAGUUGAAACUGGCAGUCUUGAGUACAGUAGAGGUGGGCGGAAUUCGUGGUGUAGCGGUGAAAUGCUUAGAUAUCACGAAGAACUCCGAUUGCGAAGGCAGUUCACUGGACUGCAACUGACACUGAGGCUCGAAAGUGUGGGUAUCAAACAGGAUUAGAUACCCUGGUAGUC
rnacentral:rRNA from 1 species